GACAGAGGGUGCAAACGUUGUUCGGAAUUACUGGGCGUAAAGCGCGUGUAGGCGGCUUUGCAAGUCGGGCGUGAAAUCCCACGGCUCAACCGUGGAAGUGCACUCGAAACUGGCGGGCUAGAGUAUCGGAGAGGUUGGUGGAAUUCUCGGUGUAGAGGUGAAAUUCGUAGAUAUCGAGAGGAACACCGGUGGCGAAGGCGGCCAACUGGACGAAUACUGACGCUGAGACACGAAAGCGUGGGGAGCAAACAGG
rnacentral:rRNA from 1 species